UCUCUCGGUCUCUCCCGACUAUACAGUGAAAAAAGGCAAACAGAGAGGCGACGCGAGAGGGUGUUUUCCGGCGGGCCGCCGUCGGGCUCUGGGAGGUGGGGAAGACAGCGGAGGGCUGCGUCGCGGUUGUAGAUAAUGGUGUUUUAGGAUUUGAUUCUGGCGUUGGCGGGCAGGCGGGGCGACUUUGAUGAAGUGGAAUAAGGUUCCUCCGGCUCCUUCCCGUCGCGGCGGUGCUCCCUCUGAUGGCGCUGCGGCUCUAGGGAGGUUGGUCUCUCUCUGAUCCGGGCAUCCGGCGAGGUUUGGUUGGUGAAGGGGUUGUACAGAAGUUGGGAUUUGUGGAGAGGGAUUCCCAGAUCCGGUCACCACGGACGACCGGCAGGUGCGGGCGAAGUUGUUGGAGUUGCUGCUGCACUCCGGUGUAGGCUGGCGCUGGUGGCAGCUUCAAGGACUGGGGAGCAGGGGUACCCCCGACUGAUGCACCGAACCCGCCCCUGGUUCUGUCUUAUGCGGCCGGACUUGUAUGCGGCCCACAAAGCCAUGGAUUGGCGAUAGUGCUCCUCGCACCGGCGGGUGCAGAGAUCAGCAUGCCUUGGUGAAGAAUUAAGAUGAGCUGGGCUCAGCGGCAGGAUCUCCAUGAGUAGGCCAUGGAGGAUAUCUGCCGGUGGCGACCUACUCGUUCCCGAUGGCUCCGGUGCCCCAAGGUAAAAAAGAAGAAGAUGAUGAUGAUUCAGUUAUCAAGAGGAUGUCUGAACUCUAAACCUGAAGGACAGGAAAUCAAACUUGAGGAGGAUAAUGGAAGAGAAGAAGAAGCAGACAUUAGGAUAAUGAAACAGAAGGAGUAGAUAAUGAGGAUGGUACUGAAAGAGAAGACGAGAUGCACCUUGGCUAAGUAAAGAGCUAGACCUAAAAUUGCCCAUAAAGGGAAUCAGGUCCCUUUCUCUAUCGGUGACAUCUUAGCUGCCGUCGAUUAGGUGCAUAUUUCACGAGAUAAUCUCGUUCUAACAUGUCUCUAAUUUUGAUUUUUCCUGCGGAUUUCAAAAUAUAGAAGGCAGCUUCGAAGAGGGGUCACUGGCGAGCAACAGAAAUAAUUCCUGGAGCAGGUUUCAGUGAAGACUACUGAUUUAGAAUUGGCUGUACGUUCAUGAACAAAUUUCUGUUGCUGAAAUAAGUCAUGGUGCAGACUUCAGUGAGGACUACUGAUCUAGAAGUCGUAUGUUCAUGAACAAUUUUUUGUUGCUCUGACUGAACGGUUUGUCUCUGUAAUUCUUAUCUGUUUGGGUGGUGCCCAGCUGCCAAUAGAAGACAAGCUGUCUUCUUGCCGAACAACGCCACAAUUGCAUAGUUCCAUGUUAUUUAGGAUUGUCUCUGUCGCAUACGACUUGGAGUUACAAGAGGUCCGGUACUAAUUUUGUGUAUGUAUGUACAUGUGCACUCGCCUGCUCUAUAUACACAUGAUUUGGAAGCAUCUUUUGCUGUACAUUUUGUUUCUUUGCUCGGUCCAAAAUAUUGCAAGUGUUGUUCAUUUUUUCCCCUUUUAUGUAAAUAUACUACAGACCUUCUACAUGCUCAGUUUUCUUCC